GGGUGGUAAUGCCGGAUGCUCCGGUUGGAUGCAUGUCCUUCCGGGAAAGGUUCCAUCGGUAUGGGAUGGGGUCGCGUCCUAUCAGCUUGAUGGCGGGGUAACGGCCCACCAUGGCUUCGACGGGUAGCCGGCCUGAGAGGGCGACCGGCCACAUUGGGACUGAGAUACGGCCCAGACUCCUACGGGAGGCAGCAGUGGGGAAUAUUGCACAAUGGGCGCAAGCCUGAUGCAGCGACGCCGCGUGCGGGAUGGAGGCCUUCGGGUUGUAAACCGCUUUUGAUCGGGAGCAAGCCCUUCGGGGUGAGUGUACCUUUCGAAUAAGCACCGGCUAACUACGUGCCAGCAGCCGCGGUAAUACGUAGGGUGCAAGCGUUAUCCGGAAUUAUUGGGCGUAAAGGGCUCGUAGGCGGUUCGUCGCGUCCGGUGUGAAAGCCCAUCGCUUAACGGUGGGUCUGCGCCGGGUACGGGCGGGCUGGAGUGCGGUAGGGGAGACUGGAAUUCCCGGUGUAACGGUGGAAUGUGUAGAUAUCGG
rnacentral:rRNA from 1 species